AUCGGCAGGGGCCACCAAGCCGGCUCUCCUCCUCACAGAAGCCAGGGCCGGGCAUCCAAGAAGCAGCAGGCAGCCCCGGUUCUGGUGUCAUCGUGGGUGGCCACCUUGGCUUUUAGGCUUCCUACCUGGGGCGGGUGGGUGCUCGCCCACCCUCCCGCCCUCUUUCCUCUCCACUCGUGAGCCAGAGCCGCAUCCAGCACCACGGACAGCUCCCUGACGCCAGGAAAUUCCAGAAUCCUGCCUGCCCCUGUCUGGGGACGUCCUUCCCAAGGUCUUAUGGAGAUCUGUACUGCAGAAGUACCGUUGGCUUGACGUGGCCAAUCUGAGAGGUAAGGAACAUGUUCCCUGCGGUGUGAGUCAUUUUUUGAGCUUUCUGGACUAUGGCUGUUGGCACAGGAAACAGACUUGGCCGAUGUGGUGAUGUCCCAGUGCCCCUUAAAGACCUGGGGACCCAAAUGUAAAAUCUUUUGUUUAGAGGGGUGCCUGGCUGGCUCCAUCAGCAGAGCAUGUGUCUCUCCAUCUCAUGGUCCGUUCUGAGUUCAAGCCCUAUGCUGGUUGUGGAGCCUACUUACAAUAAUAAUAAUAAUAAUAAUAAUAAAUAAAAUCUUGUGUAGAGAAGGGGAGUCAGUGUCACAAAAUGCUUUGAAAUUCCCCUUCCUUGCCCCCAUCCCCACCCACAGAGAGAGGCAAGAGCCAGAGGCCACUGGAAAGUGAGAGUUUCCCAGGCCCUCAGGUUUGGGGGGCCCCCCAGGAAAGAGGUCUCCUUGCUCCUGCCUUCAGGGAGGUUCCAACAGGAUCCCUGAGAGAUCUUGACAUGGUGAGGACUCCCUCCCUCUGGAGCCCAAGCAAAAGGCAGAGAAUGGUCACCUUGACCUAGAGGGGUAUCCCCAGGGGAUUCAGAGCAGGGGCCAGCUUUGCUGGGGGAAUCUCAAAUGAGAAGCAGGUGGGGAGAGAAAGAAGGCCAUUCUCCACUCUGAGGCAGGGUGGGCUGGCAGGGAGGGGCUGGGGAUGAUUUACGACAUCAUUGUUUCCCCGCCCCCCCCUUCCCAGCCCCCUGCUACCGGAUGGUUGCUAGGAGAUGCUGGCUAUCUGUGUCUGGGCUGGGAGGGCGGAGCAGCAGAGAUGGCUCCAUCUGGACCCCUCCUCCCCCACAGGGGGGUGCUUGGAGCCUCACCCACCACCCCUCCCCAGGCUCCAACACACACCUCGUUGUCCCCCCAAUCCAGCCAGCCUGGGGCUUGUGGGACUCCCCAGCAGGCUGAGGGUCUGGAGCCAGGAAGGCUACAGUGGGGGGGACAGUGUUUGUGUGCAGGGAGAGGCUGACAGUCUUGGCUGGGUACCAGGAGCAACACCUCACCUUGCGGCAUUGGGGGCCAGGCCAGGUCAAAGGGGUAGGGAAGUCGGGGCCUCAAGGAGCCCAGGUUUGAGGGAGACUGAAUCCUUACCUGCGGGGAGCUGCCAGUAGGAUAGGUGAUGGGUGAGGCAAAUGUACCAUCCCCAGUACAACCUGAGACAAGGUCCAUGGCCCGUUAGGCCUGCUGUAGGGUAGUGGGUGAAUCAAGGUCAGUGGGAGGGCGGUGGCUGAGGCUGGACCACCCCAUCCGAGUGGAGGAGGGCAGUGGAGGGGCAUGGUUCACAGCCCCUCCUCUUCCCCAGAUUCUCUUUUCAGAUUUGAAAGCCCUUGGAGAAGUCAGGUAGGGUGAACUUUAGGGACCCCCCAAGAGCUGCUAUGAGCAGGACAGGGAUGCUGUGCCAAUGGUCCUGCUCUCAAUGCCAGAUUUCCUUGUAGCCCUUGCUGAUCUUUUUCCUUCCUAGUUAAGGCUUCCAUCCACCCCAGGAAGGAGGGAAUUGACCUGGAUUCACACCCACGGCUCGGGCAAGCCAGACCCCCUCUCUUCUCUAUCUUUCAACGGGCCUGGAAACUGGGUGGUACUGCCCCCAACUUUGCAAAGGUGCAAUCAGGGCCCCAGGAAGGACAUGUAAAGGGCCCCGAGUCAGGGAGCUAGUAAGUUGAGCUGGGCUUCAGAUGGGGCCUGGUGGGUCCCCUGCACAAGCUCCCUCCCUCCCUGGGCCCUGGCGGAACAGGCUCCUAAUACAUUCAAGGGCCAGAAUGGCGGGGACCUCCAAGCAAGUUCUCAGGUGCUGACCCGGAGGGAUGUGAAAACCCAUCCUUAUGAGUGAAGACAGGACUAGGGAAGAGGCUACAGUUGCUGUGGAAGCCACCUGAGUAGUCCCAGGUUGGUCCUGGGCCAAGGGAAGCAGGUCCCCCACCUUCAGGCACAUCCCCUGGGCCACAGCUUAACCUCUUACCUGCUGGGGAUCUGAGUUCCCCACCUGUCAUGGCCCUGGGUAGAGCUCCUGUAAGAGAUGCCCAGACUCAGCCCUUUGUCGUGGGGCCUCCCCAGGCCCUUGCCUUUCUGGUGGAGGGGAGCCCCAAGGACUGCUGGAUGCUCUCCCUGGAAUUUUGUCCUCUGCCUCCUGCCAAGGUCUCUAUCCAAAGAGAAUCUUUUUCACUCUUGACAUUUUUUUUUUCAGACCAAAAAGAAGGACCUAUUUCACCCAGGUGGUGUGGGUUCCCUCUGAGAAGCCUUCCUAGGUUGACCAAAGGAUGAGGCGAAUACUCCAGCAAGCUGACUGGCUGCUCCAGGAAGCCUCUGAGCAUGAUGGACGUGGCAUGGCCCUAGCUCCAGCCUGGCUGCCCAUUAUGUUGGAGCCACCUGGAGAGGGCUUCCUUGUACCCAUGCUCCCGUGUCAACAGCUGUCCACCGUGGCCCACCCCAGUCCCUCCAGUAUUGUCUGAGUUGCUAUCCUCUGAGAUGGAGGUCCCAUCUCAUGUCUAAUAAAGACUCCUGAAUGU
rnacentral:lncRNA from 1 species